AGCUUGAAUCGGGAAGAUGAUUUGGUAGAGAGAGAAAAAUCUAAGGCUAUGCAUCUAUGCAAUCUGGAGAAAGGGGUUGCAGAUACUCACACGACUGCUGUCUGGUUAGGGAGAUUAAAAGAAUGAUGGCUCAAGAUGAACAAGUCGUGAUGAAGCAUAUCUACAGAAAUCAAUGUUAUUGCAAAUUCUCUUGCCAAGUAAGGUUUAUCCCUUCCAAUGCCGAGGAGCGUUUAUGACAAUAUUCCUCUGUAUUGUCUUGUUCCCUUCCUCUUUGAUUCUUGUAAUACCCUCCAUGUGAGGGAGUAGCUUGGGC
rnacentral:lncRNA from 1 species